CAUAACAUGUUUAUUAAAUGAAAGCCAAUGCAGUUUUCCAGGUGAAUUCAUACGUGGCACAAUUUAUUUUUCUGCAGCGCAAGCAACAUGAACCGUCUAUUUGGAGUGGACCUUCUGUCUGUCGCCGCAAUCGUAAUUGCUUUGAUCGUCAUGGCUCCGGAAGAAGCUCUCGCUAGCUUCGGCGGAGGUGCGGGAGGAGGAGCCGGAGGCCCCGAAGGCUCGCGCAAGAAGUGAAGUUUCGUGCGUCCUGAAUGACGCCAUUCCACUGUUGCCAUGCUCUGGAUGACCCGCUCGCCUGCAAUAAAAUGCGUGUUGAGAACAUAA